CAAGGCCAUUGAUCAUCCUGAAAUAGGUGUACACUUAAAAGUUGGAAGUGUGAUAAUCCUACAAGAUGUUUCAAUUUUUUCACCAAUACGUGAAACAUACUAUCUUAACAUAACUCUGAGGAAUAUUGUCAAGGUUUUUGGAAGUGAUAUUGGGGGCCCAACUGAUGAC